rnacentral:lncRNA from 1 species
GUUCCCUUUUAACCACCACCAAAAAGAGAAAAAAAAAUUUUUUUUUGCCGUUCCAAACAGGAGAGUCGCUUCAGAGAGGAGCUGGCGUGUGUGUUCAGAGCCCAGGAGUGUGAGCCCUGCCAGGUGGCUCUUCCCGGCCUGGGCCACGCUGGGUAGGAUGGCCACCCAGGCACCGGCUUCCUGGGACCCUGGUGGUCUUGGAGUGAGUGAGUGAGCAAGGCCUUGUCCUGAGGAGAAAGACCUCAACUCCCCUGAAGGAGGGCUGGGCCUGGGGACAGGGACAUGAGCAUUGUAGGGCCUGGGGGGUUCCAGAGGUAAGGAGAUGGGAGUGGGAGGGUCAGGAGAUGAGACUGGGAGGGUCAGAUCCAGAAUGUUCCACGGAGGCUUCAGGGCCUCUGGGUCUGGAGAAAUACGUUCGCUAGAAAAAUAAGAGGCUUUGAGAAUGUCUGCAGUCUGUACUCUCUGCCUGCCCAAGAGAAAUCUACCCUGUUGGCCAAAGGGCAGCGGGGAGGGAGCAAAGGCUGGAGGCCAGAAGUGGGUUUGGCCCUUGGGGAAGAUUCCAGAGGGGAGCGAGGUGGGCGGCAGACUUUGGUUUCUUGGGUCCCCUUUCUUGCAGUUGCAGAGGCUGAGGAGGCCCCCACCUCCCUGCCCCUUGAGGGGGGGGCUGCCGUGUGGGAAGUUGGCAUCUGUCACGGGCUUGUGGGUGCCCGGGCCCUGGGCCCUCAGAACAGGACGCUCAGGGGGUAGAGGGCCAGCGCGAGCAGCAGGGGGCCUGCAGCAAGGCUGCCUGCCGAGCUGGCAGGAGCACAGUGGCCGAGGUUGGCCCCGAUGCAGGCUGCAUACGCCAUCACGUGGGGGACGUAGUUCUGCUCGUGGACGCCGUGCAGCAGGUGCGCCAUGGGGCCCUUGGAGAAGACGGCCACGUCCUCCCCGCCGUGGGUCUCGUGGCGCAGGGGCACAGCAGACUGCGCCUGGUAGUUGUUGUGAGCAUAGUCCACCAUGGAGACAUUCUCUCGUUCACCGCCCACCACCUUGUAGCCAGGCCCAUUGCCAUACAGGAUGGCAGUGAAGGGCUUCUUGUCUGUGUCACUCAGCAUGGGGGCCAGACCAAAGAUAGAGUUGCCACGGGGGGUGUAUCCACCAAAUGUGAAGACGUGGGAAUGGUCCGCAGUGACCACGGUCAGAGUGUCUUCCGAGGAGGUCAAGCUGCCUGCCUGCCCGAUGGCCCGGUCCAUCUCCACCGCCUCAUGCAGGGCCUGCUUGGCUUUUCCUUCAUGGUGCCCGUGGUCAAUUCUGCCUCCUUCCACCAGCAAGAAGAAGCCUUUGGGGUUCUUCCGCAGGAUCUGGAUGGCCACCACCACCAUCUCGGAGAGUGACGGGUCCGUCACGUUGUUCCUGUUCAGCUCGUACUGCAUGUCCCCUGGCUCGAAGAGACCCAAUAGGUAGUCCACAUUGUGGGGGUCAAGGGUCAGGAGUUCCGUGCGGUUCCAGAUGAAGUGGGAGUGCUUGUAUCUCGGUUUGAAGCUCUUCCAGGUGUCAACGAGGUCCAGGCCGUCCAGCCUCGUGCCCCUGGCUUUCUCGUCACUCUCAUACUCCACAUCAGUUUUAUUCUUGGGGUACAUGUAUUUCCGGCCACCCCCCAUGAUCACGUCAAUGUCCCUGAUGUUAUGCAUGAGCUGGUAGGCGAUGUCCUUACAGCCCUGGCUCAAGGCCUCAGGGGGCAUCUCGUUGUCUGAGUACCAGUCCCGGUCAGCCGAGUGGGCGUAGGCGGCGCUGGGGGUGGCAUGGUUCACUCUCGUGGUGGUCACAAUGCCCACAGAUUUCCCAGCGUCCUUGGCCCAGCGCAGGAUGGAGGUGACCUCGUUCCCCUGGGUGGUGUUGCACCGGGAACGCUCAGUGGCUGCGCUUACCCCCACGGUGCCCUCAUUGGCCUUCACCCCACACAGGUAGGCGGUGGCGGUGCCGGCACUGUCAGGGACCUGGGCAUUGGUGUUGUACGUCUUGGAGAGGGCCACGAAGGGGAACUUGUCCAUCUCCAGCCUGGUCUCCUCCCCAGGGUUGUGGUGGAGCUGACCCUUGAGGAUGCGGGCAGCCGUCACUGUGGAGACACCCAUCCCAUCUCCCAGGAACAUGAUGACAUUCUUAGCCACGUUGGUGUUGAGCUUCUGAAGCUCCAGGGCAUAUUUCAGUGUCUCUUGCGCUUGGUCUCGCCAGUACUUGGGGUCUUUCUCUUUCUCUGGCACUAAGGAGUUAGUAAGGCAGGUGCCAAUGGCCAGUACUAAGAAUGGUGAAAUCAUGGUGCACCCCAAGACCUGCUUUAUCCCUGGAGCCCAGAGAUGCAAUCGACGUGGGUGGGAGGGGGUGGGCUGGCAGUGGUCAGAUGUUAACUGAUGUUCCAAUCCUGCGCAGAGCACUGGCGAGGGUCCGUCCAGGCACAAGCGCGUGGGAGCACGGAGCCAGGAUAGCGGGCGCGGAGUGGCGGGA